GCCUGAGUGGCCGAGCGGUUCUAGGUGCCACAGCCUGGAAAGCUGCGGUCGCAGGUUCGAAUCCUGCCUCGGGCA
rnacentral:tRNA from 1 species